AAGAUACUAGUAAAACAUAUUACACUGCCUUGUCAGGGCGGAAUUGUGGGUUAAACUCCCACGUAUCUUA
rnacentral:tRNA from 1 species